AAAAAUCGUGCUGGUCGGUGCGUGGCAUCUGGGCAUGGGCCAUGGGGGACGUUCAGUCGCAAACUCGAUUCUGACGCUGGCGGGAUGCCCCCCAUACGUCGGCGCGCUUAACUGGACUUCAUUCGGUAGCAUUCGCUGAAACAGAUGAGUAAUAUCGGGACAUCUAAGCGCGGGGAUAACUACGCGAAAGCGUAGCUAAUACCGCAUACGCCCUUCGAGGAAAGCGGGGGACCUUCGGGCCUCGCACUAUUAGAGCGGCCGAUAUCCGGAUCUUUUAGCUAGUUGGUGGGGUAACGGCUCACCAAGGCGGCCGAUCAUAACCGGUUUGAAGGACGACCAGCCACACUGGGACUGAGACACGGCCCAGACUCCUACGGGAAAGGCAGCAGUGGGGAACACCACUGGACAAUGAAACCUGAUCAGCAUAUCCGCGGCUGCUGCGAUGAAGGCCUUCAGUUUGUAAAGCACUUUUGGCAGGAAAGAAACGGCACGGGAUAAUACGAUGCAACUGACGACACCUGCGAAUGGCACCGGCUUACUUACGACAUAGCAGCCGCGGUAAUACGUAAGUGCAAGCGUUAAUCGGAAUUACUGGGCGUAAAGCGUGCGCAGGCGGUUGGAGAAAGAAGAUGUAAAUCCCAGAGCUUAACUUUGGAACUGCAUUUUUUAACUACCGAGCUGAGUGUGUCAGAGGGAGGUGGAAUUCCGCGUGUAGCAGUGAAAUGUGAUAUGGAGGAACACCGAUGGCGAGGCAGCCUCCUGGGAUAACACUGACGCUCAUGCACAGCGUGGGGAGCAAACGGGAUUAGAUACCCUGGUAGUCCGCUAACUCGAUGUCAACUAGCUGUUGGGGCUUUUCAGGCUGCCCGGCAACAGCUGCAUGAGACGAGCCGCCCGCAAGAGAUACGGUCGCAAGAUUAAAACUCAAAGAUUGACGGGGACCCGCACAAGCGGUGGAUGAUGUGGAUUAAUUCGAUGCAACGCGAAAAACCUUGACGUAUGUCUGGAAUCGAAAGAGAUUUGGGAGUGCUCGCAAGAGGAACUGAACACGGAGUGCUGCAUGGCUGUCGUCAGCUCGUGUCGUGAGAUGUUGGGUUAAGUCCCGCAACGAGCGCAACCCUUGUCAUUAGUUGCUACGAAAGGGCACUCUAAUGAGACUGCCGGUGACAAACCGGAGGAAGGUGGGGAUGACGUCAAGUCCCUCUGGCCCCUUAUGGGUAGGGCUUCACACGUCAUACAAUGGUCGGGACAGAGAGGUCGCCAACCCGCGAGAGGCCAAUCCCAGAAACCCGAUCGUAGUCCGGAUCACAGUCUGCCAGCAUCAUUUCCUGCGUGAUCAAGAUCGCUAUUAAUGGAGUUCAGCAUGUUCGCAGGUGAGCCGUUCCCCGGGUCUUGUGCACACCGCCCGUCACACCAUGGGAGUGGGUUUUACCAGAAGUAGUUAGCCUAACCGUAAGGAGGGCGAUUACCACGGUAAGUUGCUUGACUGGGGUGAAGUCGUAACAAGGUAA
rnacentral:rRNA from 1 species